GAUGAACGCUGGCGGCGUGCCUAAUACAUGCAAGUCGAGCGAACAGACGAGGAGCUUGCUCCUCUGACGUUAGCGGCGGACGGGUGAGUAACACGUGGAUAACCUACCUAUAAGACUGGGAUAACUUCGGGAAACCGGAGCUAAUACCGGAUAAUAUAUUGAACCGCAUGGUUCAAUAGUGAAAGACGGUUUUGCUGUCACUUAUAGAUGGAUCCGCGCCGCAUUAGCUAGUUGGUAAGGUAACGGCUUACCAAGGCAACGAUGCGUAGCCGACCUGAGAGGGUGAUCGGCCACACGAGAACUGAGACACGGUCCAGACUCCGACGGGAGGCAGCAGUAGGGAAUCUUCCGCAAUGGGCGAAAGCCUGACGGAGCAACGCCGCGUGAGUGAUGAAGGUCUUCGGAUCGUAAAACUCUGUUAUUAGGGAAGAACAAAUGUGGAAGUAACUAUGCACGUCUUGACGGUACCUAAUCAGAAAGCCACGGCU
rnacentral:rRNA from 1 species